UACGUAGGGGGCAAGCGUUGUCCGGAUUUAUUGGGCGUAAAGAGCGUGUAGGCGGCUUGGCAAGUCUGCUGUGAAAACUCGAGGCUCAACCUCGAGCUGUCGGCGGAAACUGCUUGGCUAGAGUCCGGAAGAGGAGAGUGGAAUUCCUGGUGUAGCGGUGAAAUGCGCAGAUAUCAGGAAGAACACCCGUGGCGAAGGCGGCUCUCUGGGACGGUACUGACGCUGAGACGCGAAAGCGUGGGAGCGAAGCAGG
rnacentral:rRNA from 1 species